rnacentral:lncRNA from 1 species
GUUUUCCGUCACUCGGACCAUUUCGUACCUGCGAAAUGAAAGAUAUAGGUAUUCUAGAGCGACGCCCCCUUUAAGUGGCCCUGACAACCCCUUUGGAUUACCGUGUCAACGAGGCUACAAUGGAGAUAAUUAAGUUGUGGCAUCCAGGUAGUCCAGAUGACGCGAAGGUGCCGACCGUUGAGGGAAUUCAAAUUCGACGUAGUUGAGUCACAACUUAAAACGGCCAACCAAAUGAGCAAAGGACGUGCCACUUGAAGAUAAAGGACCACUAUUUGUUUCAUCCGAGUCGAAGAGAGCCAGGAAGCACCGACGAUAAGUCAGUUCCAGCACCGUCUUCCCAUCCAUUCUCUCUUGUUUUACUGACAGCAAUGAUUGCCGUCUCUGUGAAAGGAGCUAUGGGAGAUGAAAGAAGAAGUUAACAAUC